UCCGAAUUGGUGUAGUGGUUAACAUUGCCGCCUCUCAGGAAACUUACGUAAUCAAUUACGUGAUGUCCGCGGCAGCCAGGGGUUCGAUUCCCCUAUUCGGAA